GUCGGUUUAAUCCUCGGGUUCCACAGCCACUUCCCUGACCUGGCCAGGUGAGGCUGGUGCUAUGUCUGAAUGUGAUCCCCCCAAGUUCAUACUUUAGUAGAAACCUAAUGCCCAUUGUGAUGGUGUUAGGAGGUGGGGCCCUUGGGAGGUGAUUAGGUCACGAGGGUGGAGCCCAUUUGAAUGAGAUUAGUGUCCUUACAGAGGACACCCCAGAGAGCGCCCUCACCCUGUCUGCCACGUGAGGACAAAAUGAGAAGUCUGUGACUGGCCAGAGCGCCCUCGCCCCACCAUGUUGGCACGCAGACCUCAGACUUCCAGCCUCCAGAACUGUGAGAAAUAAACGUCUGUAGUUUCUAACCAUGCAGUCCGUGGUAUCUUGUUAUGAUAGCCCGCAAGGACUAAGACAGGUCUGGUGGCUCUGGGAUGUGCUCUAUAAUGAAGGAGAGAGAAGUUUCUUUUAAAAAGGCCCCCAAAAGGGAGCUGAAAUUUUGUGACCAACUAGUAUAUUGCAAAAAUUACACUGUGUGAAUUCUGAAACUGAAGUGUAAAAAAUACUGGCUUCUGACUUGCUCUCUCGGAUCCCUCACUUUGAGAGGAGCUGGCUGCCAUGUCAGGAGGAUGCUCAAGCAGCCAUGUGGAGAGGUCCACAUGGUGGAGAACUGAGGCCUCCUGCCAACAGCCAGCACUGGCUUCCAGCCAUGUGAGUGAGCCACCUUGGAAGGGGAACUUCUGUCCCUGGUGGAGCCUUCAGAUGACAGCAGUUGACGUCUUGAAUGCAGCCUCACGAGAGACCUCCAGACCACCAUGCUCCACAGCUCCUACAGGCUGAUCCACAGAAACUGCAGGAAAUGCUAAAUACUUAUUAUUCUUUUAAACUGCUAUGUUUGGAGGUAAUUUAUUUUGGAGAAAUAGAAAACUUAUUUGGGAGGUUUGACCUUGAACUGGAGAAGGGAAUUUAGAAAGCGAAUGGGAAAUUUGUGAUUGCUAUUGGGAAAAGAAGAAGAAAUCUAAGCCUGGGGCUGGAGCUUCAUAAUUUUGCUAUAGGGUGUGGCCUUUUGUCUUCAGCUCUGGAAGAACAAGUAGAAGCUAUCAGGAGAGGCAUUUCUGCCCCUGGAAAGCCCUAUGUACUUGAACUUGGAGAGAACACUGUGUUUGAGUCCCACCAAUAUUGUCCCACACAUUUAUACCACUAUUUUUAAAUGUCUUUAUUAUAAAUGUCUGUCACUCUCUGAGGAUUUUCUGUCAGAGCUAUAAUUGUGCCCAUAUUAUACCUGGUUCAGAUCCACUCCACAUACGUAAGAUUGCACCACGAAGAAAAAUAAACUCAAGUUUGCAG
rnacentral:lncRNA from 1 species